UAAAAGCAAGGGGCCAGGAUUGUG
rnacentral:piRNA from 1 species